GAAUUUACCGAAAUCUUGUUCUCGUCAGAGAAGAAAGGAGGAGCACCUCGUCAACACUCGCGUCUUCAAGUGUUUCAGGAUGCUCUAUCUGAUUGCAUGCUUGAGGAUAUUAGGUAUGAAGGGGACAAGUUUACUUGGUUUCGAGGAGGACUGCAUGAGAGAUUGGACCGAGCUGUUUCAAACGCAGGCUGGGAAAGUCAGACCACCGAUCAAUUUGCAUGGACACAAAUCAUCUGGCAGGUGUGGCUGAUAGCAGUCCUAUUUACAAACUGA
rnacentral:rRNA from 1 species